AAAUAUGAGAGUAAUCUGGCUGCAACAUCUGUCACCUCAUUGAUGGCCAGGAUUGAUUCAGCUAAUCUGGAUGACUUGGCAAGUGUCUUUUUCCUGCCUCACUACUUCCAUGUGUGUCCUUUCUGAAGCUACUUGCUAGGUUGAAGAAGAUGACCUUCCCAAAUAGAGAAUCAUUCUUCACUGAAGGGUACACAAGCAGCUGUGUUCCCCUGCUAGAACCUCUAAAUAUGCUGUCAAGGAUAUAGGUCCAAGUGGUAAGACUUCAGAAGUAAAAGGCAGAAAGAAAGGAUCAAAGGGUCCUAUGAAGAGCAAUUCAGUGGAGUGUCAUUACUUUCUUU
rnacentral:snRNA from 1 species